AUGAAGCGAUCACCUUCUCCACCGCCCAUGGCCGCAGGGGCUCCCCUUCUUGGGAUCCUCCCGGCGCUUCUCACCAAGGGCCCCCUGCAAGUGAUCCGCGACGCCCACACGGAGAUGGGGAGCGUGUUCACGGUGAGACUGUUGCAUCACAAGGUGACCUUCCUGGUUGGGCCAGACGUGUCGAGCCAUUUCUACCAAGGGCUGGACUUGGAGAUUAGCCAGGACGAGGUCUCCCAGUUCACCAUUCCGACUUUCGGCCCCGGCGUCGCCUUCGACGUGGACUUCGCUACUCGCCGCGAGCAGUUCCGCUUCUUUGGUGACGCCAUGAAGCCGGCCAAGCUCAGGACUUACGCCGGACUGAUGGUGCGCGAAGUCGAGGAGUACUUUGCGAGAUGGGGACAGUCCGGCACGGUUGACUUGAAGCAGGAGCUAGAGCAGCUCGUCACGCUCGUAGCCAGCCGGUGCUUGUUCGGGGAGGAGGUCCGGGCCAAGAUGCUCGGCGAAGUCGCAACGCACCUCCGUGAACUCAACGACGGCAUGCGCCUCGUCACCAUCCUGUUCCCGCACCUGCCCAUCCCGGCGCACCGUAGACGCGACAGGGCGCGUGCUAGGCUCGGCGAGAUAUUCUCCAGCAUCGUCAGCUCCCGCAAAGCAGGCUACCCCGACGGUGGUCCGGAUGACAUUCUGCAGUGCCUGAUCGAUUCCAGGUACAAAGACGGCCGCGCCACGACCGAGACGGAGGUCGUCGGGAUGCUUGUCUCGGCGCUGUUCGCGGGGCAGCACACAAGCUCCAGCACGGGCACGUGGACCGGAGCGCGCCUCCUCGCGCGCGCCAACACCGAGCACCUGCGCGCCGCCAUCCGGGAGCAGGAGCGGAUCGUGGCGCGGCACGGGGACCGCGUCGACUACGAGGUUCUACAGGAGAUGGACACCCUCCACCGCUGCGUCAAGGAGGUUCUGCGGCUCCACCCGCCGGCGAUGAUGCUGCUGCGUCACGCGCGCCGGAGCUUCACCGUGCGGACCAGGGAGGGUGACGAGUACGAGAUCCCGGAGGGGCGUACCGUCGCGAGCCCGCUGGUGCUCCACAACCGUCUCUCAUAUGUGUACAUGGACCCGGAGAGGUACGAGCCGGACCGGUUCGGCCCCGCCAGAGCGGAGGAUGUGGCCGGCGGAGCGUUCUCGUACACGGCCUUCGGUGGCGGGCGCCACGCCUGCGUUGGUGAGGCAUUCGCAUAUAUGCAGAUCAAGGUUAUAUGGAGCCACCUGCUGAGGAACUUCGAGAUGGAGAUGAUGUCGCCGUUCCCCGGGACGGACUGGAACGUGGUCAUGCCGGGGCCCAAGGGGAAGGCCAUGGUCCGCUACAGCAGAAAGAGGAUGUCAGCGGCCGCCUAA
rnacentral:rRNA from 1 species